rnacentral:rRNA from 1 species
GAUGAACGCUGGCGGCGUGCCUAAUACAUGCAAGUCGAGCGAACGGACGAGAAGCUUGCUUCUCUGAUGUUAGCGGCGGACGGGUGAGUAACACGUGGAUAACCUACCUAUAAGACGGGGAUAACUUCGGGAGACCGGAGCUAAUACCGGAUAAUAUUUUGAACCGCAUGGUUCAAAAGUGAAAGACGGUUUUGCUGUUACUGAUAGAUGGAUCCGCGCUGCAUUAGCUAGUUGGUAAGGUAACGGCUUACCAAGGCAACGAUGCUUAGCCGAACUGAGAGGGGGAUCCGGCACCCCGGAACUGGGACCAGGUCCAGACUCCUACGGGAGGCAGCAGUAGGGAAUUGUUCCCAAUGGGCGAAAGCCCGAGCGAGCCACACCGAGUGGGUGAAGAAGGACUUCGGGUUCUAAAACCCUUUUUUUUGGGAAGAAAAGAAGCAGUAUAAAACCUCGCCGAUUUGACGGUACCUAAUCAAAAAGCCACGGCUAACUACGUG